rnacentral:rRNA from 1 species
AAUUCUAGAGCUAAUACAUGCUAAAAACCCCGACUUCGGAAGGGGUGUAUUUAUUAGAUACAAAACCAAUGCCCUUCGGGGCUCUUUGGUGAUUCAUGAUAACUAUACGAAUCGCACGGCCUUGCGCCGGCGAUGGUUCAUUCAAAUUUCUUCCCUAUCAACUUUCGAUGUUUGGGUAUUGGCCAAACAUGGUUGCAACGGGUAACGGAGGGUUAGGGCUCGACCCCGGAGAAGGAGCCUGAGAAACGGCUACUACAUCCAAGGAAGGCAGCAGGCGCGCAAAUUACCCAAUCCCGACUCGGGGAGGUAGUGACAAUAAAUACUGAUACAGGGCCCUUUCGGGCCUUGUAAUUGGAAUGAGUACAAUUUAAAUCCCUUAACGAGGAACAAUGGAGGGCAAGUCUGGUGCCAGCAGCCGCGGUAAUUCCAGCUCCAAUAGCGUAUAUUAAAGUUGUUGUGGUUAAAAAGCUCGUAGUUGAACCUUGGGCCUGGCUGGCCGGUCCGCCUCACCGCGUGCACUGGUCCGGCCGGGCCUUUCCCUCUGUGGAACCCCAUACCCUUCACUGGGCGUGGCGGGGAAACAGGACAUUUACUUUGAAAAAAUUAGAGUGCUCCAGGCAGGCCUAUGCUCGAAUACAUUAGCAUGGAAUAAUAAAAUAGGACGCGCGGUUCUAUUUUGUUGGUUUAUAGGACCGCCGUAAUGAUUAAUAGGGACAGUCGGGGGCAUCAGUAUUCAAAUGUCAGAGGUGAAAUUCUUGGAUCAUUUGAAGACUAACUACUGCGAAAGCAUUUGCCAAGGAUGUUUUCAUUAAUCAGGAACGAAAGUUAGGGGAUCGAAGACGAUCAGAUACCGUCGUAGUCUUAACCAUAAACUAUGCCGACUAGGGAUCGGACGGUGUUAUUCAUGACCCGUUCGGCACCUUACGAGAAAUCAAAGUGCUUGGGCUCCAGGGGGAGUAUGGUCGCAAGGCUGAAACUUAAAGAAAUUGACGGAAGGGCACCACCAGGGGUGGAGCCUGCGGCUUAAUUUGACUCAACACGGGGAAACUCACCAGGUCCAGACACAAUAAGGAUUGACAGAUUGAGAGCUCUUUCUUGAUUUUGUGGGUGGUGGUGCAUGGCCGUUCUUAGUUGGUGGGG